rnacentral:rRNA from 1 species
AUGCCAGGAUCACAAGCCGACGAGAUUGACUGGGAGAAUUUAUCGAACAAGGAGCUUCAUGAUAAGUUUCAGCAAAUGAUGACUGAACAGGUGCAAGAUGUGCUGAACAAUUUUGAAGAGGCCAUGGAGAAGAUCAUUGGCCUUGAGAAGACGUUCGAAACAAAGCUCGAUAACAGAUUUAAUGAAUUGCUCGCGCGUCUUCCACCACCACCACCCGCUGCACCUAACGCACCUCUCCAACAACAACAACAACGACUACCUCCACGUCGCGAAAUAGACCUUCGCCGAGCGAGCCGUGUUCCUCUUGCGUUUGGCCAAACUGUUGGUGCUGCUGUUGAUACUUCUGUGGCUCCUUCUACUGCUGUUGCUGGUACCCAGGAGGAUGAUGAGUAUGCGGGCGAUUAUGAGGAUGAGGUUGAUCAAAAUCAGAUCUACGAGCAGCCACCAGCACCACCACCAGCAGGUCGACCUCAGGUAUAUAUUCGUAAUGGUAGGCCUGCACCACCACCUCAGGUACGAGAUGAUGUCCAUAUUCCUAAACUGAAAUUGAAUAUUCCACCAUUUGAGGGUAGAUAUGUUCCUGAUAUAUAUCUUACUUGGGAGUUAGAAACUGAACAACGAUUUACAUGUUUACAAUAUCCUGAGGAGAGACGAGUUGCUGCUGUUGUUUGUGCUUUCACUAGUUUUGCAUGUGUAUGGUGGUCUGAACAUUGUAGAUUAUAUCCUAUUCCAACUACUUGGGCUGCUUUGAAAACUGCUAUGCGUACGCGUUGGGUUCCACCAUAUUAUCAACGUGAAUUGCUUCAAAAAUUGCAGUGUUUAAGACAAGGAAAAAAUUCUGUAGAAGAAUAUUAUCAGGAAUUACAAACUGGCAUGAUUAGAUGUGGUAUUGUUGAGGAGAAUGAAGCUAUGCUUGCACGUUUUCUGGGUGGAUUAAAUAGAGAGAUUCAGACCAUUCUCGACUAUAAGGAGUAUACUAAUAUCACUCGUUUAUUCCAUCUUGCUUGUAAAGCUGAACGUGAAGUGCAGGAUCGACAAGCAUUGGGGCGAACUAACUUUUCUGCAGGCCGACCUUCAUCAUGGACACCACGUGCAUCUUCUACUUCAACUGCACCAGCACCUCCAUCAGGUGCCACCUCCAGCCGUGAUACAAGAAAACAGACACAACCACCAUUAUCUGCCAAGAGCGCACCUGCGGGGCCUACACAGCGUUCUUCUUCUUCCAUAGCAUCAAUAGGGCACACAAGUGAUAUUAUUUGUCGUCGUUGUAAGGGAGGAGGUCAUUAUGCGAGAGAAUGCAAAUCUCCACGUGUGAUGAUUGCUACCGUGGAUGGUGGAUAUGAGUCCGCUAGUGACUAUGAUGAGGAGACUUUGGCUCUUAUUACACGUGAAGAACAUGGUGGAGAUGAUUCUGAUAAUGAGACGCAAUACAUGGCUCCUGAAGACGCUGACAGGUAUGAAUGUUUAGUUGCUCAACGUGUUUUGAGUGUGGAGAUCACACAAGCUGAGCAAAAUCAGAGGCACAAUUUGUUCCAUACCAAGGGAGUUGUGAAGGAACGUUCUGUGCGCGUCAUCAUAGACGGAGGGAGCUGCAACAACUUGGCUAGCAUGGAGAUGGUCGAGAAGCUUUCUCUCACCACAAGACCACAUCCACAUCCUUACUACAUCCAAUGGUUCAACAACAGCGGCAAGGUUAAGGUAACACGUACUGUUCGUGUGCAUUUUAGUAUAUCUACAUAUGCUGAUUAUGUUGAUUGUGAUGUGGUACCUAUGCAAGCAUGUUCCUUAUUACUUGGUAGACCAUGGCAAUUUGAUAAAAAUUCUGUACACCAUGGUAGAAACAAUCACUAUACUCUUGUUCAUAAGGAUAAAAAUAUUACUUUGCUUCCUAUGACUCCUGAUUCCAUUUUGAAAGAAGAUAUUAAUAGAGCUAAUAAAGCAAAACAGGAGACGAAUAAGAGUGAAAAUCAGAUUGUGGCAAAAGAAUUUGAGCAACAAAUGAAGCCUAAUAAUAAACCAUCUAGUGUUGCUUCUGAAAUUAAAUUGAAAAGUGCAUGUUUAUUUGCCACCAAAUCUGAUAUUGAUGAGCUAGAUUUCAGCAAAUCUGUUUGCUAUGCUUUUGUGUGCAAAGAGGGAUUAUUUUCAUUCGAGGACGUGCCUUCCUCUUUGCCUCCUGCUGUCACUAACAUUUUGCAGGAGUUCGCUGACGUCUUUCCACAAGACGUGCCACCGGGAUUACCGCCUAUUCGAGGGAUUGAGCAUCAGAUUGACUUAAUUCCCGGUGCUUCACUGCCAAACCGUGCACCAUACCGUACCAAUCCAGAGGAGACGAAGGAGAUUAUGCGUCAAGUACAAGAGCUUCUCGACAAAGGUUAUAUACGCGAAUCCCUUAGUCCUUGUGCUGUUCCUAUUAUUCUAGUGCCGAAAAAGAAUGGUACAUCACGUAUGUGUGUUGAUUGUAGAGGCAUUAAUAAUAUUACUAUUCGUUAUCGUCAUCCUAUUCCUAGGCUAGAUGAUAUGCUUGAUGAAUUGAGUGGCUCUACAAUAUUCUCCAAAGUUGAUUUACGUAGUGGAUACCAUCAAAUUUGUAUGAAAUUGGGAGAUGAAUGGAAAACAGCAUUCAAAACUAAGUUUGGAUUAUAUGAGUGGUUAGUCAUGCCUUUUGGGUUAACUAAUGCACCUAGUACUUUCAUGAGAUUAAUGAACGAAGUUUUACGUGCUUUCAUUGGACGAUUUGUGGUAGUUUACUUUGAUGACAUAUUGAUUUAUAGCAGAUCUUUGGAAGAACAUUUGGAACAUUUACGUGCUGUUUUUAUUGCUCUACGUGAUGCACGUUUGUUUGGUAACCUUGGGAAGUGCACCUUUUGCACCGACCGAGUAUCUUUUCUUGGCUAUGUUGUUACUCCAUAG